AAGUCCUAACUGGUUUUGUCAUAGGUGUUGUGUUAUGGAAUUUUAAAUAAUUCGAUAAAUAAAAUUUAUUUUUGGGAACCAUUUGCAACUGAAAUAAUACACUAUUUUGACAAAUUUUAUAAUGUGUUUAUGUCCAUGUGUCUUACAUGUUCUUAAAGAAUAUGUGCCAUAAAAUGUUGAUUAGAGUUUGAUUAGAAGCUUAGAAAUAUCUUAUCAGAAGAGAAUUACGUGAGUAUUUGUGUGUAGCUUUUAAGAUAAAUUUGGACCCAUACUGCACUCUCCUCUUUACAUUUUAAAAACUGUUUAGUAUUAUGAUGGUUAUUUUUUAAAUACGAUGUCAUUGCUUUAUGUUAGACAUUUCAUUAAAAACUUAAUACAUCUU
rnacentral:misc_RNA from 1 species